GACAGAGGUGCAACGUUGUUCGGAAUUUACUGGCGUAAAGGCGCGUAGGCGGCUCUGUAGUCAGGCGUGAAAGCCUGGCUCAACCUGGGACUGCGCUGAUACGGCGGGCUUUGAGGCAGGAGAGGCUCGCGGAAUCCAGUGUAGAGGUGAAAAUUCGUAGAUAUUGGAAGAACACCGGUGGCGAAGGCGGCGAGCUGGCCUGUACUGACGCUGAGCGCGACAGCGUGGGAGCAAACAGG
rnacentral:rRNA from 1 species